CGGGACGGGUGAGUAAUGUCUGGGAAACUGCCUGAUGGAGGGGGGUAACUACUGGAAACGGGAGCUAAUACCGCAUAACGUCGCAAGACCAAAGAAGGGGGGACCGUUCGGGCCUCUUGCCAUCGGAUGUGCCCAGAUGGGAUUAGCUAGUAGGUGGGGUAACGGCUCACCUAGGCGACGAUCCCUAGCUGGUCUGAGAGGAUGACCAGCCACACUGGAACUGAGACACGGUCCAG
rnacentral:rRNA from 1 species